rnacentral:rRNA from 1 species
GGGGAAUUUUGGACAAUGGGCGCAAGCCUGAUCCAGCAAUGCCGCGUGCAGGAUGAAGGCCUUCGGGUUGUAAACUGCUUUUGUACGGAACGAAAAAGCUCUCUCUAAUACAGGGGGUGAAUGACGGUACCGUAAGAAUAAGCACCGGCUAACUACGUGCCAGCAGCCGCGGUAAUACGUAGGGUGCAAGCGUUAAUCGGAAUUACUGGGCGUAAAGCGUGCGCAGGCGGUUUUGUAAGACAGAGGUGAAAUCCCCGGGCUCAACCUGGGAACUGCCUUUGUGACUGCAAAGCUGGAGUGCGGCAGAGGGGGAUGGAAUUCCGCGUGUAGCAGUGAAAUGCGUAGAUAUGCGGAGGAACACCGAUGUCGAAGGCAAUCCCCUGGGCCUGCACUGACGCUCAUGCACGAAAGCGUGGGGAGCAAACA